GAUUAUGGCUCAGAAUCAACGCUGGCGGCGUGCCUAACACAUGCAAGUCGCACGAGAAAGUGGGAGCAAUCCCAUGAGUAAAGUGGCGUACGGGUGAGUAACACGUGACUAACCUACCCUUGAGUGGGGAAUAACUGGGGGAAACCCUGGCUAAUACCGCAUAACACCUACGGGUCAAAGGAGCAAUUCGCUCGAGGAGGGGGUCGCGGCCGAUUAGUUAGUUGGCGGGGUAAUAGCCCACCAAGACGAUGAUCGGUAUCCGGCCUGAGAGGGCGCACGGACACACUGGAACUGAAACACGGUCCAGACUCCUACGGGAGGCAGCAGUGGGGAAUUUUUGCGCAAUGGGGGGAAAAACCCCCUGACGCAGCAACGCCGCGUGGAGGAUGAAGUCCUUCGGGACGUAAACUCCUUUCGAUCGGGACGAUUAUGACGGUACCGGAAGAAGAAGCCCCGGCUAACUUCGUGCCAGCAGCUGC
rnacentral:rRNA from 1 species